AGAGGUGUAUGGUCCCUUCAAGCCAGCAGUAAGAGGUGAGGCAGAAGGCUUAUCGCAGGAAGUGCUAAAUCAUCUCGCGGACAGAAACGGCUCUGCUGGAUUUACUGAGAGUCAAAUAUUUACACAAGACACUAAAAAAAGCAACGACACAAAAGACUGAGCUUCAAGAGCAUCUCCAGACCACAACACAACUGCAACAUUCUGGAUAAGUAGCUGAACAACUGAAAGAGACUGAGAGGAAGAUGGAG